rnacentral:rRNA from 1 species
GUGCCAGCCGCCCGCGGUAAUACGUAGGGUGCGAGCGUUAAUCGGAAUUACUGGGCGUAAAGCGUGCGCAGGCGGCGCCAUAAGACAGAUGUGAAAUCCCCGGGCUUAACCUGGGAACUGCGUUUGUGACUGUGGUGCUCGAGUGCGGCAGAGGGGGGUGGAAUUCCACGUGUAGCAGUGAAAUGCGUAGAGAUGUGGAGGAACACCGAUGGCGAAGGCAGCCCCCUGGGUCGACACUGACGCUCAUGCACGAAAGCGUGGGGAGCAAACAGG